rnacentral:rRNA from 1 species
AAUCAACGCUGGCGGCGUGCCUAACACAUGCAAGUCGAACGCGAAAGGUGGCAACACCGAGUAGAGUAGCGUCCGGGUGAGUAACACGUGGAUAAUCUACCUUUAGGUGGGGAAUAACUUUCCGAAAGGGGAGCUAAUACCGCAUAAGACUUCUUAGGGGCAUCUCUGAGAAGUCAAAGCGGGGGAUUCGAAAGAACCUCGCGCCUUUGGAGGAGUCCGCGGCCGAUUAGCUAGUUGGUGAGGUAAAGGCUCACCAAGGCUUCGAUCGGUAGCCGGCCUGAGAGGGUGACCGGCCACACUGGCACUGAAACACGGGCCAGACUCCUACGGGAGGCAGCAGUGGGGAAUUUUGGGCAAUGGCCGAAAGGCUGACCCAGCAACGCCGCGUGAGGGAUGAAAUCCUUCGGGAUGUAACCUCGUAAGUCAAGGAAGAAUAAACGUACUCUAACACAGUACGAUAUGACGGUACUUGACGUAAGCCCCGGCUAACUCCGUGCCAGCAGCCGCGGUAAUACGGGGGGCAAGCGUGUUC